rnacentral:rRNA from 1 species
GUGGGGAAUUUUGGACAAUGGGCGCAAGCCUGAUCCAGCAAUGCCGCGUGCAGGAAGAAGGCCUUCGGGUUGUAAACUGCUUUUGUACGGAACGAAAAGGCUCUGGUUAAUACCUGGGGCUCAUGACGGUACCGUAAGAAUAAGCACCGGCUAACUACGUGCCAGCAGCCGCGGUAAUACGUAGGGUGCAAGCGUUAAUCGGAAUUACUGGGCGUAAAGCGUGCGCAGGCGGUUGUGUAAGACAGACGUGAAAUCCCCGGGCUCAACCUGGGAAUGGCGUUUGUGACUGCAAAGCUGGAGUGCGGCAGAGGGGGAUGGAAUUCCGCGUGUGGCAGUGAAAUGCGUAGAUAUGCGGAGGAACACCGAUGGCGAAGGCAAUCCCCUGGGCCUGCACUGACGCUCAUGCACGAAAGCGUGGGGAGCAAACAGGAUUAGAAACCCCGGUAGUCC